rnacentral:misc_RNA from 1 species
AGGAGCCGUAUGAGUCGAGAGGCUCACGUACGGAGUCUGUGAGGGGCUGGAGGUGAAAUUCCUCCGGCCGACUCGGC